rnacentral:rRNA from 1 species
CCUACGGGUGGCAGCAGUGAGGAAUAUUGGUCAAUGGCCGGAAGGCUGAACCAGCCAAGUCGCGUGAGGGACGACUGCCCUAUGGGUUGUAAACCUCUUUUAUAAGGGAAGAAUAACUGCUACGUGUAGCAUGAUGCCUGUACCUUAUGAAUAAGCAUCGGCUAACUCCGUGCCAGCAGCCGCGGUAAUACGGAGGAUGCGAGCGUUAUCCGGAUUUAUUGGGUUUAAAGGGUGCGUAGGCGGUCCGGAAAGUCAGCGGUAAAAGCCCGGGGCUCAACCCCGGCGAGCCGUUGAAACUGUCGGACUAGAGACGGCGAGAAGUACGCGGAAUGCGCGGUGUAGCGGUGAAAUGCAUAGAUAUCGCGCAGAACUCCGAUUGCGAAGGCAGCGUACCGGCGCCGGACUGACGCUGAGGCACGAAAGCGUGGGUAUCGAACAGGAUUAGAUACCCGAGUAGUC